UUCUUUCCUUGAGUAUUGGCCAGA
rnacentral:piRNA from 1 species